rnacentral:rRNA from 1 species
GUCUACAGCCAUGCCACCCUGAGCAUGCUGGGUUCCGUUUGAUCUUAGAAGCUAAGCAGGGUCGGGCCUGGUUAGUACUUGAAUGGGAGACCACCUAGACCAGGUGCUGUAGGUG